rnacentral:tRNA from 1 species
GCGGUAUUGGUGAAGUGGUUAACACACCGGAUUGUGGUUCCGGCACGCGUGAGUUCGAUUCUCACAUACCGCCC